rnacentral:lncRNA from 13 species
AGUGAGUAAAGACAACAGAGGAAACAUAAUGAGUGAGUAAAGAGAACAGAGGAAACAUAAUGAGUGAGUAAAGAGAACAGAGGAAACAUAAUGAGUGAGUAAAGAGGACAGAGGAAACAUAAUGAGUGAGUAAAGAGAACAGAGGAAACAUAAUGAGUGAGUAAAGAGGACAGUGAAACAUGAGUGAGUAAAGAGGACAGUGAAACAUAAUGAGUGAGUAAAGAGAACAGUGGAAACAUAAUGAGUGAGUAAAGACAACAGAGGAAACAUAAUGAGUGAGUAAAGAGGACAGUGAAACAUAAUGAGUGAGUAAAGAGAACAGAGGAAACAUAAUGAGUGAGUAAAGACAACAGUGGAAACAUAAUGAGUGAGUAAAGAGAACAGAGGAAACAUAAUGAGUGAGUAAAGAGAACAGAGGAAACAUAAUGAGUGAGUAAAGAGAACAGAGGAAACAUAAUGAGUGAGUAAAGACAACAGAGGAAACAUAAUGAGUGAGUAAAGUGGACAGUGAAACAUAAUGAGUGAGUAAAGAGAACAGUGGAAACAUAAUGAGUGAGUAAAGACAACAGAGNNNNNNNNNNUCAGAUUACAUCAUAUCACACUGUAGAGUCAGAUUACAUCAUAUCACACUGUAGGGUCAGAUUACAUCACACUGUAGGGUCAGAUUACAUCAUAUCACACUGUAGGGUCAGAUUACAUCAUAUCACACUGUAG